GGUUAAGCGACUAAGCGUACACGGUGGAUGCCUAGGCAAUCAGAGGCGAUGAAGGACGUGCUAAUCUGCGAUAAGCGUCGGUAAGGUGAUAUGAACCGU
rnacentral:rRNA from 2 species